rfam:Aedes albopictus isolate Foshan contig27287, whole genome shotgun sequence.
UGUUAUGUGGCGAAGCUGGUUAACGCACCCUAUCUAUCGAAUUGAGAAGAAGUGGGUUCAAAUCCUACCAGAAUUA